rnacentral:rRNA from 1 species
ACGGAGGGUGCUAGCGUUGUUCGGAAUUACUGGGCGUAAAGCGCGUGUAGGCGGAUUCGGAAGUCGGGUGUGAAAGCCCUGGGCUCAACCCAGGAAGUGCGCCCGAAACCACGAGUCUUGAGGUCCGGAGGGGAUCGGGGAAUUCCCAGUGUAGAGGUGAAAUUCGUAGAUAUUGGGAGGAACACCGGUGGCGAAGGCGCCGAUCUGGACGGAUUCUGACGCUGAGACGCGAAAGCGUGGGUAGCAAACAG